rnacentral:tRNA from 1 species
CGGAGCGUGGCCUAAUUGGUUAAGGCACCGGCUUCGGGUGCCGGAGAUUGUGGGUUCGAGUCCCACCGCUCCGA